rnacentral:rRNA from 1 species
GGCUUGUUGUUGUUUAUAACAAGUCUAACCUGCCCAGUGAUUUUUAAUUUAACGGCCGCAGUAUUUUGACUGUGCAAAGGUAGCAUAAUCAUUAGUCUUUUAAAAGGGGGCUGGAAUGAAUGGUUUGAUGAAAUAUCUUCUGUCUCAUUUUUAUUAAUUGAAUUUAACUUUUAAGUUAAAAGGCUUAAAUUUUUUUGGAAGACGAGAAGACCCUAUAGAGCUUUAUUAAUUUUAUUUUCAUUUGAUUUUGGGUUUAUUAUUUAAAAUGUUUAUUAAGUUAGUUUGGUUGGGGCGAUAGUAAAUAAAUAAAUAACUUUUAUUUUAAAUUUUACAUUUAUUUAUGAUUAAUUAGAUCCAUAAUUUUUGAUUAUUAGAUUUAGUUACCUUAGGGAUAACAGCGUAAUCUUUCCUUUGAGUUCUUAUUUUCGGAAAGGGUUGCGACCUCGAUGUUGGAUUAAGAUUAUAGUUAGGUGUAGUCGCUUAAUGUAUAGGUCUGUUCGACCUUUAAAUUCUUACAUGAUCUGAGUUCAGACCGG